AGCAGCCGCGGUAAUUCCAGCUCCAAUAGCGUAUAUUAAAGUUGUUGCAGUUAAAAAGCUCGUAGUUGUAUUUCAGGCCUGGCUGGACGGUCCGCCCUUCGGGUGAGUACUGUCUGUGGUCGGGUCCUACCUUCUGGCGAAGCGUCAUGGCCUUAACCGGCCGUGGCGGGGAACCAGGACUUUUACUGUGAAAAAAUUAGAGUGUUCAAAGCGGGCAAUCGCUUGGGUACAUUAGCAUGGAAUAAUGGAAUAGGACAAUGGUUCUAUUUGUUGGUUUCUAGGACCGUUGUAAUGAUUAAUAGGGAUAGUUGGGGGCAUUAGUAUUCAAUUGUCAGAGGUGAAAUUCUUGGAUUUAUUGAAGACUAACUACUGCGAAAGCAUUUGCCAAGGAUGUUUUCAUUAAUCAAGAACGAAAGUUAGGGGAAUCGAAGACGAUCAGAUACCGUCGUAGUCUUAACCAUAAACUAUGCCGACUAGGAAUCGGGCGAUGUUGAAAAAAUGACGCGCUCGGCACCUCAUG
rnacentral:rRNA from 1 species